rnacentral:rRNA from 1 species
CAGAGGGAGAUAACCCGUCGAAAGACGGACUAAUACCGCGUACACUUACAGGAGGGCAUCCUCCCGUAAGGAAAUGAAAUUNGCUGNGAGAUAGGCAUGCGUCCCAUUAGCUAGUUGGUGAGGUAACGGCUCACCAAGGCGACGAUGGGUAGGGGAACUGAGAGGUUGAACCCCCACACUGGUACUGAGACACGGACCAGACUCCUACGGGAGGCAGCAGUGAGGAAUAUUGGGUCAAUGGGCGAGAGCCUGAACCAGCCAAGUCGCGUGAAGGAUGACUGUCUUAUGGAUUGUAAACUUCUUUUAUACGGGAAUAACAAGAGCCACGUGUGGCUCCCUGCAUGUACCGUAUGAAUAAGCAUCGGCUAACUCCGUGCCAGCAGCCGCGGUAAUACGGAGGAUGCGAGCGUUAUCCGG